ensembl:processed_transcript BC037032 cDNA Sequence BC037032
CUUGAGCCAGCAGCGGUUAACCCGGCCCGGGGUUCUGGGCCUCAGCCGGCGCCAGCAGCUCCCUCAGGUGGGGCGCAAGCCUCAGCGCGCCGCCCUUCUCCGCUCCUCUCCUCCAACCGGCCCUUACCUAGGGCGACGGCCCCGGGGACCCCCUUCCCAAGGGCGUCGGCCUGGAGCCUGGAGUCUGUAGGAGUGGCGGGAGAUGGGGACGCGAGUCCCUGGACGCCGACAGUCUGUCUCUAAGGCGUUGCUGCGUGGCUUUGGUACACAGAGCCUCGACCGCUUCUCCACCGCUGCAAGCACAGCGGGGAAGUGGAUGGAGAAGCAAAGACAGACAGACAGACAGACAGACAGACAAGCGGCGGCGGGGCUACCCUGAAACCCGAGCGUCUCCAAGCCCCCACCCCCAACCCCCGGGCACGGCGCUGCAGAUGCCAGAUCCCCGACCAGAGGCGGUGGAGAUGGGCAGGGCAAAGAACGCGCGCGCCGCUCGCAGCUCGUCCGCGCGUGGCCUUCCUCUUGCCCCCCUGCACCUUCAAUUUACCUUAUGCAGGGCGCCCCGCGAGCUGCGGGCUGAGGCGCCGAGCCGAAGCCCAGAGGACAGGAGUUUGAGAGCCGCCAUCUUCGGCCCCGGGUGCGGGAGACGGUGGCGCGCGCGGGAGUGCGUGCGAGUGCUGGUUGCCCGGGGCCGCGGCGGCGUCACCGGCUAAGAAGAGAGAAGGCAAGGCGAGCGGUAGGGCGGGCUGGAGGCUCGACCGCGCGUCAGUGACGUCCUCGGGACCUCAGAGCGGUGCCGCCCCUUGCUGCCUGCUGGCUUGUCAAGAAGCGAGACAGGGAGGGGCUCACGGCUAGGAAUGGAAAGGCUGCACAGCUAGGACGAGCCCCGCGGGUUGUGCCGGGGCCGGAGGUGCUGGGCUCCAGCUCAUCUGCGGGCACACCCGCAGCGGCGGGCGCUGCACUCAGGCUGGAGGGGGCGCUAGAGCCUGCCUUCCCCUCGCGCAAGGCUUGGCAUCAACCAGGGUUUCGGGUUGCCAAGGGCCUGGAGGGUCUCUUACUGAACGUGUUACUUUUCCAAAUCGCCCUCUGGAAUGAGUACAGGUACAAAGGGUCACUGAUAAAGAUCUCCUUCCAGAUCUAGACAGCUCACCUUUCCAACAUUUCUCAACCCCAACACCCACAACUCUCUUCAAGUCUGGUUUUGCCCUUAGUUUCCUCUGAAACCCAGCAGCGUGCUGACUGACCCUCAUGAGACAUGACCUGCUUAACCGACAGAGGGACAAGAUUAGAACUGGGCUGUUGUUCCCCAUCAUCCUACUCUGUGUUCCAGAAUUUUCCUGGAACCGGAGUCCCAACAAUUCCAGAAAUUACAGAACAGGAGAAAAUGAAAAUAUAUGAGUUACACAGUCAAAAAAUGAAAAUGAGAGUCAUGUUACGGUGCUAAGAAAACUUCAGGAGAAAAACACAGCCAUCUAAGUGUGCUCAGCUUCAGCAUAGGACACCUGCUUUGGAUUCUCAGCCUCUCCAAUGUCAGGGAGAGACUGCCAUAAUUGACUUUGUUCCCCCUGAAACUGUGAGCCCAAAAAUGAGUCCUUUCUUCUAUAAACUGGUUUUGAUCAUUGUGUUUUAUCACAGCAACCGUUAAAUACAGAAGUUGGUGCUAGAGUGGGCUGAAGCUGUGUAGCACUUGACUGUGUUGCUUUGAAGAGGAAGGUGGAAGACUGUGGAGAUCUGGCCUGGAGCAGCAUCUGGAUACUUUCGGCAGAACUUAAAAGGCAACCCUAAAGGAAGCCUGAAAGAUAACCACACUGAGAGCAAUGAGGACUGUGGAGACCCAGAGCAGAAGGUUUCAGAGAGGAACACUAUCAGCCAUUGGGCUCCAAGCUCUUGUGAUAUUUGGGCAAAGAAUCUAAUGGCCCUGGGCUUUGAUCCUAAGAACUUACCUAAGGGGAAAUUUUUAAAGUAACAGAAUAAUUUCUAUAGUGGAAUAAAAUUUCAAGACCACAUAACAUUGAGUCUGUGGCAUGGUUUUUAUUGAUAAUGCUUCGGAUCUAUGAUGGAAAAGAGACAGAAAUUAAAAAUGGACAUUUUGGUGAGAUAAGGAGCAUUGGGAAUCUUACUGCCCACAUUGAAAUAGAGGCUAUAAUUGCUCAGGAGUCAAGCACCAUUAAGGAGAGACCUGCUCUACACUGGAAUGUGGUUAACACUCCGCCCAGCUAAGCCUCUACAUUCUGAAAGGAAAAAGACUAAGAGGUGACUAGCCAAACUUAGCAGGUAUCUCAAUAUGAUGUUAUCUUGGAUGCAUGAAGGAGACCACACCGGUUCAUAGACUCCUCUUCCUGGAUCUUAGAUGCAUGAAGGAGACCAUGCCGGUUCAUAGACUCCUCUUCCUGGGCCUCAGGGAGCUGCUGGGGCCAAGAAACAUGUGGAAGAGGGGUCACUACAUGAAGGCUUUGAGAAGGCAAGAGGCUCUAAGAAAGCAUUGCAGGAAACUGUGAAAGUAAAGCUCUUGCAGUAAAGAUCCCAAAUUUUUGGUGAUUCAGCAGCCACGGCUUACCUGCUGUGACAAGUUAUGCUUUGAUUACUGUGCCUAGAGAGAUCCAUGAAACAAAAAGAAAUUCUCCCUUCCCUAGGGACAAGAUACUUCAAAAAUGCUGGAGGCUGUUGUUUAAGGAAGAUAACAAGCCACAUGUUUUCGCACUCAUAAACAAGUUUGUUUGCCCCAACUGCAUUGGCUGUCUCUAUCACCAGUAGGCAGAGGUAAGGAAACAGGAAACAUGUCAAGAUAUAUGCUUGUCCUUCAUUGUAUGUUUGUCCUUCAUUGGAUAUUGAUUGGCCUUGUGGGGUUGCCUUUUUAAGCCUCUGCAAGAUGUGAUUCAUCACCAAUUGCUGGGAACCUGGGAAUGAACCGGGUCAGAGUCCAUCCUCCUGGCCAGCAUCUAAUUAACGAUUGCUUCAUAUUUGACUCAAAGAUUGUGGUAGUGGUCUUAUUCCCAACUGGUGAGAUUAACACUGCCAAAGAGAACUGCAAACAGGGGCAGAACCAGCCCAGGAGAGAUGUGUACGUCGCAGGCAGCAAAGGUGGGGGUGUAGAGGUAUCUAAGCCCCUCGACAUCAGAUGUGAAACUACAGAUUUGGUCUUGGCCCUGUUGAGUUCUGAUCUUACUUUGGCAUAGCAUUCCCAUUUAGAAGGUUUGUGGGUAUUAUAUUCUGGGGUAUUACACAUUGAACACAUGUGAAUUGUGUUUUGAUCUUACAGUGGUUACAAUUAAGAGAGUUCCUUGAGCCUCAGAA